rnacentral:tRNA from 1 species
ACUUCUGUAGGAUAAUAGCCAUCCGUUGGACUUAGGAUCCGAAGACUCUUGGUGCAAAUCCAAGUGGGAGUA